AUGGUGUCACCAUGGAGCAUCCUUUUCUUUUUUUGCAUCAGGUCAUAUUUUGUUGGGCCUAAAGGGUUGCACUUGCACUAUCCAUCUUUAUGACUCGUGUCGGAUUCUGAAGUAAUUUGCCAUUUAUUGAUUCUUUAUGGAUAGCGACAAGAUCUGGAGCUUGGCUCUUUCUCUGGGGAUGAUAACUGCUGACAGACUUUGUAUGUGUCCAAGAACUUUUGACAAUAUUUUACUAUUGAAGAGGAGCGUUGGAGCAAUGGUAAAGUUGUCUUUGUAUGACCUAUAGGGCACGGGUUCGAGCCGUGGAAGAAGCCACUAAUGCUUGCGUUAGGGUAGGUUGUCUACAUCACACCCCUAGGGUGCGGCCCUUCCUCGAACCCUGCGUGAAUGCGGGAUACUUUGUGUACCGAGCUGUACAAUGGAUGUACUUUGCAUUGAAAGACUGCAUUCCAUUCUUUUACAACUCUAUUGUAAGUACAAAAAUCAGGCAUGCAAUAAGAAAUCCCUGUCUGGAUAUGUUGCUUGUUUUUGUAAUUACAUAUAGUAUUAUUAUUUGUAUAUUAUGCAAUUCCAACUUUGUUUAGUAUGAAAUUUGAGUACACUGCAUUUCGGUU